UACGAAGGGGGGCUAGCGUUGCUCGGAAUCACUGGGCGUAAAGAGCGUGUAGGCGGCCAUACAGGUCAGCUGUGAAAACUCGAGGCUUAACCUCGAGAUGUCAUCGGAAACCAUCUGGCUAGAGUCCGGAAGAGGAGAGUGGAAUUCCUGGUGUAGCGGUGAAAAUGCGCAGAUAUCAGGAAGAACACCUAUGGCGAAAGCAGCUCUCUGGGACGGUACUGACGCUGAGACGCGAAAGCGUGGGGAGCGAACAGG
rnacentral:rRNA from 1 species